rnacentral:rRNA from 1 species
AAUGUAAAAUAUAAAACUAGAGUAUUAAUAGUUAUAUUCUUUAAACUUAAAAAAUUUGGCGGUAUUUUAGUCUAUUCAGAGGAACCUGUUUUAUAAUCGAUAUUCCACGAUGGACCUUACUUAAUUUAAUAUUUUAGUUUGUAUACCGUUGUUAUAGAAGAUUUUAUAAGAAAAAUAAUUUUCAAUUAAUUGAAUAAAAUUAUAUAUCAAAUCAAGGUGCAGCUUAUGAUUAAGUAAAUAAUGGGUUACAAUAAAUUUAUUUAUACGGAAAUAAAUAUGAAAAAUUUAUUGAAGGUGGAUUUGAUAGUAAAAUUAUAUAGAUUAUUAAUUUGAUUUUAGCUCU